rnacentral:rRNA from 1 species
AACGAACGCUGGCGGCAUGCCUAACACAUGCAAGUCGAACGAGACCUUCGGGUCUAGUGGCGCACGGGUGCGUAACGCGUGGGAAUCUGCCCUAGGGUGCGGAAUAACUCGGAGAAAUCCGUGCUAAUACCGCAUAAUGUCUUCGGACCAAAGAUUUAUCGCCCUGGGAUGAGCCCGCGUAGGAUUAGCUAGUUGGUGGGGUAAAGGCCUACCAAGGCGACGAUCCUUAGCUGGUCUGAGAGGAUGAUCAGCCACACUGGGACUGAGACACGGCCCAGACUCCUACGGGAGGCAGCAGUGGGGAAUAUUGGACAAUGGGCGAAAGCCUGAUCCAGCAAUGCCGCGUGAGUGAUGAAGGCCCUAGGGUUGUAAAGCUCUUUUACCCGGGAUGAUAAUGACAGUACCGGGAGAAUAAGCUCCGGCUAACUCCGUGCCAGCCGCCGCUGUAACAC